ensembl:snoRNA LOC120094913 small nucleolar RNA SNORA17
AAUGCUCCUAGAGGCACUGCAGGCGUGGCUGCUGUGUCACACGUGUGCCAGUAGGUGGCAGAGUCUAGGCCUAUGCUCAGUGUUCUGAUCUAUGAACAUCUGAAUGAUUAGAAGCCUAACAUU